rnacentral:rRNA from 1 species
ACCAAGGCGACGAUCAGUAGCCGACCUGAGAGGGUGAUCGGCCACAUUGGAACUGAGACACGGUCCAAACUCCUACGGGAGGCAGCAGUGGGGAAUAUUGCACAAUGGGCGAAAGCCUGAUGCAGCAACGCCGCGUGAGUGAUGAAGGCCUUCGGGUCGUAAAGCUCUGUCCUCAAGGAAGAUAAUGACGGUACUUGAGGAGGAAGCCCCGGCUAACUACGUGCCAGCAGCCGCGGUAAUACGUAGGGGGCUAGCGUUAUCCGGAUUUACUGGGCGUAAAGGGUGCGUAGGCGGUCUUUUAAGUCAGGAGUGAAAGGCUACGGCUCAACCGUAGUAAGCUCUUGAAACUGGAGGACUUGAGUGCAGGAGAGGAGAGUGGAAUUCCUAGUGUAGCGGUGAAAUGCGUAGAUAUUAGGAGGAACACCAGUGGCGAAGGCGGCCUGCUGGACGACAACUGACGCUGAGGCGCGAAAGCGUGGGGAGCAAACAGGAUUAGAUACCCUGGUAGUCCACGCCGUAAACGAUGAUUACUAGGUGUGGGGGGGCUGACCCCUUCCGUGCCGGAGUUAACACAAUAAGUAAUCCACCUGGGGAGUACGACCGCAAGGUUGAAACUCAAAGGAAUUGACGGGGGCCCGCACAAGCAGUGGAGUAUGUGGUUUAAUUCGAAGCAACGCGAAGAACCUUACCAGGUCUUGACAUCCAACUAACGAAGUAGAGAUACAUUAGGUGCCCUUCGGGGAAAGUUGAGACAGGUGGUGCAUGGUUGUCGUCAGCUCGUGUCGUGAGAUGUUGGGUUAAGU